rnacentral:rRNA from 1 species
UACAGAGGGUGCAAGCGUUGUCCGGAAUUAUUGGGCGUAAAGCGCGUGUAGGCGGCUUUGCAAGUCGGGUGUGAAAGCCCUCGGCUCAACCGAGGAAGUGCGCCCGAAACUGCAGAGCUUGAGUACCGGAGAGGAUGGCGGAAUUCCCCAAGUAGAGGUGAAAUUCGUAGAUAUGGGGAGGAACACCGGUGGCGAAGGCGGCCAUCUGGACGGAUACUGACGCUGAGACGCGAAAGCGUGGGGAGCAAACAGG